GACGAACGCUGGCGGCGUGCUUAACACAUGCAAGUCGAACGGAAAGGCCCUGCUUUUGUGGGGUGCUCGAGUGGCGAACGGGUGAGUAACACGUGAGUAACCUGCCCUUGACUUUGGGAUAACUUCAGGAAACUGGGGCUAAUACCGGAUAGGAGCACCUGCUGCAUGGUGGGGGGUGGAAAGUUUCGGCGGUUGGGGAUGGACUCGCGGCUUAUCAGCUUGUUGGGGGGGUAGUGGCUUACCAAGGCUUUGACGGGUAGCCGGACUGAGAGGGUGACCGGCCACAUUGGGACUGAGAUACGGCCCAGACUCCUACGGGAGGCAGCAGCGGGGAAUAUUGCACGAUGGGCGGAAGCCUGAUGCAGCAACGCCGCGUGCGGGAUGACGGCCUUCGGGUUGUAAACCGCUUUCGCCUGUGACGAAGCGUGAGUGACGGUAAUGGGUAAAGAAGCACCGGCUAACUACGUG
rnacentral:rRNA from 1 species